rnacentral:rRNA from 1 species
ACGGGAGUAGCAAUACAACUGGUGGCGACCGGCGCGACGGGUGAGUAACGCGUAUGCAACCUACCUAUCAGAGGGGAAUAACCCGGCGAAAGUCGGACUAAUACCGCAUAAAACAGGGGCACCGCAUGGUGAUAUUUGUUAAAGAAAUUCGCUGAUAGAUGGGCAUGCGUUCCAUUAGGUAGUUGGUGAGGUAACGGCUCACCAAGCCGACGAUGGAUAGGGGAACUGAGAGGUUGGUCCCCCACACUGGUACUGAGACACGGACCAGACUCCUACGGGAGGCAGCAGUGAGGAAUAUUGGUCAAUGGGCGGGAGCCUGAACCAGCCAAGUCGCGUGAAGGAAGAAGAAUCUAUGGUUCGUAAACUUCUUUUGCAGGGGAAUAAAGUGCAGGACGUGUCCUGUUUUGUAUGUACCCUGAGAAUAAGGAUCGGCUAACUCCGUGCCAGCCGCGGC